rnacentral:rRNA from 1 species
GGCUCAGGAUGAACGCUAGCUACAGGCUUAACACAUGCAAGUCGAGGGGCAGCGGGAUUGAAGCUUGCUUCAAUUGCCGGCGACCGGCGCACGGGUGAGUAACGCGUAUCCAACCUUCCGUACACUCAGGGAUAGCCUUUCGAAAGAAAGAUUAAUACCUGAUGGUAUGAUGAGAUUGCAUGAUAGCAUCAUUAAAGAUUUAUCGGUGUACGAUGGGGAUGCGUUCCAUUAGGUAGUAGGCGGGGUAACGGCCCACCUAGCCAACGAUGGAUAGGGGUUCUGAGAGGAAGGUCCCCCACAUUGGAACUGAGACACGGUCCAAACUCCUACGGGAGGCAGCAGUGAGGAAUAUUGGUCAAUGGACGAGAGUCUGAACCAGCCAAGUAGCGUGAAGGAUGAAGGUCCUACGGAUUGUAAACUUCUUUUAUAAGGGAAUAAACCCUCCCACGUGUGGGAGCUUGUAUGUACCUUAUGAAUAAGCAUCGGCUAACUCCGUGCCAGCAGCCGCGGUAAUACGGAGGAUGCGAGCGUUAUCCGGAUUUAUUGGGUUUAAAGGGAGCGCAGACGGGUCGUUAAGUCAGCUGUGAAAGUUUGGGGCUCAACCUUAAAAUUGCAGUUGAUACUGGCGUCCUUGAGUGCGGUUGAGGUGUGCGGAAUUCGUGGUGUAGCGGUGAAAUGCUUAGAUAUCACGAAGAACUCCGAUUGCGAAGGCAGCACACUAAUCCGUAACUGACGUUCAUGCUCGAAAGUGUGGGUAUCAAACAGGAUUAGAUACCCUGGUAGUCCACACGGUAAACGAUGGAUACUCGCUGUUGGCGAUAUACUGUCAGCGGCUUAGCGAAAGCGUUAAGUAUCCCACCUGGGGAGUACGCCGGCAACGGUGAAACUCAAAGGAAUUGACGGA